ACGGUCUUCAACACGAAGCCUCCGCUCACAUGGCGCAGCAAGCUAUAAAGGGCCCCAAAAUGACAUGUGUAAAACAAUUCAAACGGGAAAAUCAACGUACUAAUCUAUAUAAGAAACCAAAAAACACUUAUAAACCACAUAAACAGACGACAACUGCUGAACAUCAGAUUCACGAAUUAGGACAGGUGCAAACAAUUGCAGCGGCUUUAAAGAUUUUAAUAGAACAAACCGUCGCCCUUAUCUGAAAUAGUUAAACAUGAACAUCACAACAAAAAAAAAACCGCAGUUUUAGGGGAGGGGUCACAUGCAAC
rnacentral:lncRNA from 1 species